UACGUAGGUGGCAAGCGUUAUCCGGAAUUAUUGGGCGUAAAGCGCGCGUAGGCGGUUUUUUAAGUCUGAUGUGAAAGCCCACGGCUCAACCGUGGAGGGUCAUUGGAAACUGGAAAACUUGAGUGCAGAAGAGGAAAGUGGAAUUCCAUGCGUAGCGGUGAAAUGCGCAGAGAUAUGGAGGAACACCAGUGGCGAAGGCGACUUUCUNGGUCUGUAACUGACGCUGAUGUGCGAAAGCGUGGGGAUCAAACAGGAUUAGAUAC
rnacentral:rRNA from 1 species